AGAGUUUGAUCCUGGCUCAGAAUCAACGCUGGCGGCGUGCCUCAGACAUGCAAGUCGAACGCGAAAGUCCCCUUCGGGGGACAAGUAGAGUGGCGCACGGGUGAGUAACACGUAGGUAAUCUACCUUCGGAUGGGGAAUAACAACCGGAAACGGUUGCUAAUACCGCAUAAUGCAGCGGCACCUAAUGGUGACAGUUGUUAAAGCGGGGGAUCGCAAGACCUCGCGUCUGAAGAGGAGCCUGCGGCGGAUUAGCUAGUUGGUAAGGUAACGGCUUACCAAGGCGACGAUCCGUAGCCGGCCUGAGAGGGCGGUCGGCCACACUGACACUGACAUACGGGUCAGACUCCUACGGGAGGCAGCAGUCGGGAAUUUUGGGCAAUGGGCGAAAGCCUGACCCAGCAACGCCGCGUGAAGGAUGAAAUCCCUCGGGAUGUAAACUUCGCAAGAACGGGAAGAAUAAGUAGGGGACAAUACCCCCUAUGAUGACGGUACCGUUUGUAAGCUCCGGCUAACUCCGUGCCAGCAGCCGCGGUAAUACGGGGGGAGCAAGCGUUGUUCGGAUUUACUGGGCGUAAAGGGCGCGUAGGCGGCCAGCACAAGUCAGUUGUGAAAUCUCCGAGCUUAACUCGGAAAGGUCAACUGAUACUGUGCGGCUAGAGUGCGGAAGGGGCAACUGGAAUUCUUGGUGUAGCGGUGAAAUGCGUAGAUAUCAAGAGGAACACCUGCGGCGAAGGCGGGUUGCUGGGCCGACACUGACGCUGAGGCGCGAAAGCUAGGGGAGCGAACGGGAUUAGAUACCCCGGUAGUCCUAGCCUUAAACGAUGAAUGCUUGGUGUCUGGGGUUAUAAAGUCCCCGGGUGCCGUCGCUAACGCUUUAAGCAUUCCGCCUGGGGAGUACGGUCGCAAGACUGAAACUCAAAGGAAUUGACGG
rnacentral:rRNA from 1 species